rnacentral:rRNA from 1 species
GGCCCGCGGACGAACCACCCCAAGAGAACCCGUCAUCAACGUCGCCGGGGGGCAGGCCCGGGGCGGAGCCACGCGUGCGCGUGGCGCGCCCGGUCCCCUGUUCGCCCGGUGCAGCCCCACCCCGCGCGCGGGGCGGGGAAAACGAACAACAACCCCGGCGCGGUCUGCGCCAAGGAACUCUCCCGACAGGGAUGAACGGCGCGUGGCACCGGCCUCUCGCCCACCCCGCGGGCUUGCCGGCGACGGCGAGUCCCGGGGCCGGGAGGGCGGGGCCAAGCCGCGCGGCGCGCAUCGAGUCAUAACGGAAACGGUGAUGACUCUCGGCAACGGAUAUCUAGGCUCUCGCAUCGAUGAAGAACGUAGCGAAAUGCGAUACUUGGUGUGAAUUGCAGAAUCCCGUGAACCAUCGAGUCUUUGAACGCAAGUUGCGCCCGAGACCCAUCGGGUCGAGGGCACGCCUGCCUGGGCGUCACGCCUUCCGUCGCUCCGAGGCAUGAUCCCCCGCCCGACGGCGGGGAUCGUCCCGGAUGCGGAUGCUGGCCCUCCGUUCCCCGUGGGCGGUCGGCUGAAACCCAAGGUCCGCUGCGGGUCGCGGCACGGCAUUGCGGUGGGCUGAGAGGCAGAGUCCCUGCCUCUGGCGUCGGAUGCCUUGCCCGGCCGCGCGUCACAGCGGGCCCUUGAGAACGAACCCCA